rnacentral:rRNA from 1 species
UACAGAGGGUGCAAGCGUUGUUCGGAAUUACUGGGCGUAAAGGGCGCGUAGGCGGUUUUGUAAGUUGGAUGUAAAAGACCUGGGCUUAACCUGGGGAAUGCGUACGAUACUGCAAGACUAGAGUGUAGGAGAGGAUAGUGGAAUUUCCGGUGUAGAGGUGGAAUUCGUAGAUAUCGGAAGGAACACCAGUGGCGAAGGCGGCUAUCUGGUCUACAACUGACGCUGAGGCGCGAAAGCGUGGGGAG